rnacentral:rRNA from 1 species
UACGUAGGGCGCAAGCGUUGUCCGGAAUUAUUGGGCGUAAAGAGCUCGUAGGCGGCUUGUCACGUCGGGUGUGAAAGCCCGGGGCUUAACCCCGGGUCUGCAUUCGAUACGGGCAGGCUAGAGUGUGGUAGGGGAGAUCGGAAUUCCUGGUGUAGCGGUGAAAUGCGCAGAUAUCAGGAGGAACACCGGUGGCGAAGGCGGAUCUCUGGGCCACUACUGACGCUGAGAAGCGAAAGCAUGGGGAGCGAACAGG